AAACUUAGAGUCCUCUACUGAGGAAGAAGACUAUUGGAGGAGGGAGAUUUGCCGCAUUUUUUUAUUUUGGGUUUUCCAAAUUUUUAUUUUUAUUUGUUUAUUAUUUUAAGACUCAUUUGUAGCCUAUGUUGGAGUCACAUCGGCUCGGUAACCUGUUGAAUCUCAUGAAACCUACAAAAAGAGGUAAGUGCACUCAAAUUACUACUAUAAUGGCAUCCGAUGCGGAAUCUUAA
rnacentral:lncRNA from 1 species